GUGCCCAUUUUAUAUGGAUUGUUCGCAUAAAUAAAACCGCUCAUAACGGUCUGGUUGCAGGUUCGAGUCCUGCCGGGCCCACCA
rnacentral:tRNA from 1 species